AUUGAACGCUGGCGGCAGGCCUAACACAUGCAAGUCGAACGAGUGGCGGACGGGUGAGUAAUGUCUGGGAAACUGCCCGAUGGAGGGGGAUAACUACUGGAAACGGUAGCUAAUACCGCAUACCAUCGGAUGUGCCCAGAUGGGAUUAGCUAGUAGGUGGGGUAACGGCUCACCUAGGGGACGAUCCCUAGCUGGGCUGAGAGGAUGACAAGCCACACUGGAACUGAGACACGGUCCAGACUCCGACGGGAGGCAGCAGUGGGGAAUAUUGCACAAUGGGGGCAAGCCUGAUGAAGCCAUGCCGCGGGGAUGAAGAAGGCCUUCGGGUUGUAAAGUACUUUCAGUGAGGAGGCGUUACUCGCAGAAGAAGCACCGGCUAACUCCGUGCCAGCAGCCGCGGUAAUUC
rnacentral:rRNA from 1 species